GACGAACGCUGGCGGCGUGCCUAAUACAUGCAAGUAGAACGCACAGUUUAUACCGUAGCUUGCUACACCAUAAACUGUGAGUUGCGAACGGGUGAGUAACGCGUAGGUAACCUGCCUGGUAGCGGGGGAUAACUAUUGUAAACGAUAGCUAAUACCGCAUAAUAUUAAUUAUUGCAUGAUAAUUGAUUGAAAGAUGCAAUUGCAUCACUACCAGAUGGACCUGCGUUGUAUUAGCUAGUAGGUGAGGUAACGGCUCACCUAGGCGACGAUACAUAGCCGACCUGAGAGGGUGAUCGGCCACACUGGGACUGAGACACGGCCCAGACUCCUACGGGAGGCAGCAGUAGGGAAUCUUCGGCAAUGGACGAAAGUCUGACCGAGCAACGCCGCGUGAGUGAAGAAGGGUUUCGGAUCGUAAAGCUCUGUUGUAAGAGAAGAACGGGUGUGAGAGUGGAAAGUUCACACUGUGACGGUAUCUUACCAGAAAGGGACGGCUAACUACGUG
rnacentral:rRNA from 1 species